UUUUAAGCAACAACAAUAAUAGCAAUAAUUGCAUCACAUCAGGCAACAUCAGCAGCUGCGCCAGCAGCAACAUCGGAGCGUCCGCUAUAAAAAAUUGUGAUCUACUAAUAUCGAAUAAUUUGUAUCCACCGCGACGAGAGUUACUAACUACGCUUAAUGAUGACAUCACUGUGCAUCAGUCCAGCGAUUGCCUUGGCCAGCCGUACAAUACAACUGCAGCGCUGCCAAUAGCUGGCAUCAGCAGCAGCAGCAGCUGCAGCCAGCAACAGUUGCCCUUUGACCCGCAGCAGCAGCAACAGCAACAGCAGCCAAAUAGUCCCACAAGUAGCAUAUCAAAAGGAAGAACUGAACUCUUACUUGGCGAUCAACUGCUGCGACA